GAAUAUAAAAGUGAUUCGAUAGAACACACAGAACAUGUUGCUAUUACAAUACGGCAACGAAUAACAAAGUUCUGGCUCCAUACGAUAGUCAGCAUUGUAUUUAUUUCAACAAAGAGAAAAAAACAAAACACUUCUUACCUAAGCUUGCAGUAGUUCUAGUUCUCAAAACACCAUUAUGGAUAGAGAAUAUAUGCAUAAAAGUCCACGAGAACAACAUAGGGCGACUCGAGCAUAGCUCGUACUAACUUCCUAAACGGCGCUCUUCUACCAGUGUUCUCUACUGGUAGUUCCUCCCUGGCCCGUCCCUGCCCUCGUAGGGAGGAGGGGCGGCGUUGUUGUAGUUACCGCCACCUUGGUAGCCUGGGUUACCACCUGGUUGGCCCUGGUAGUCUGGUGCACCACCACCAUAGCUAGGACCACCGCCUUGGUAGGGAGGAGGCUGGUUGCCACCUGCAAAAGGCGGCAGCGGGUUGCCUCCUGGCGCUCCACCCUGGUAUCCAGGGUUGUUGCUAUGGUAGGCUGGGCCGGGUCCAUUGUGCAUGUUGCCACCAGGAUUACCCUGGUAACCUUGGUUGCCAGCUUGGUAGCCAGGGGCUGGGGCACCUCGGUAUCCAGGGGGUGGUGGUGCAUUUGGAUAGUUUGGUCCACCUCCUGCAGCAUAGCCUGCCUGUGGGUUUGGUGCAUGGGGCUGGUAAUUUGGUGGAGCACCUGAAGGCGGCGGCGGGCCCUGUGCACCGCGACUUGGAGGAGCAGCAUCAUGGGGUGGCAUUUGGUUUGGAGGCCCACUCUGGUAGGCCUGUGUGUUCUCCCUUCUCCUUUCAAAGUUCCUCGACCUGUCAAAGUUGCGAGGCCUGUCAUUGCGCCGGGAUCUUUCAUUGGCACGGGCAUUGUUUCUCACCCACUCCUCAUGGUAUUUGGGGUCGUAAGGAACAGCUUGUCCAUCUAUAAAUGGUUCUCCUGAAAUACAAGAACAGGCAUCAGAUACACUCUCUUUACAUAUGGACACUGAUGAAAACUGGAAAAAGUGCACAAGCUCAAAUAAUCCAGGGAAGAAACGGCAAUGUUAAAAGCUGCCACCUCAAGGGGCUCAAAUUGCCAGGACAGAAUGACAAACACUUGAUACUAUAAAUCGUCUUGCACAAAGCGCUCGACAGGCUAGAUAGUCAUACAGAUUUGCAUUUUUAUCUUAGGAUAUAACCCUUGUCUUAUACUGUACUAGGAUAUAUAGUUCUAGGAGGACGAUGCAUACUUUAAACAAAAGCUGGAAACUACAGAAGCGCUAUCAUAUAGCUCUCAUAUCAAUUUUAAGUGUACUCCGUUAUAUUCAGGUUUCAUCAGAAGACAGAAGUUUGUAGUUUCUACCGUUACCAAAAAGUUACAGGGGCCAACAUAAGCUCAUACUUCAAUUAAAAAUUAACGAAGUUGUCACCAAACACCAUUUCUUUCAGUUGAAAAGAUAUUUUACAUACUGGUUACAUCCUUUACUAUAUACUGUAGGAAUGAAGAUACAGAGAGCAGUCAAGAUUUAACUCAAAUACUAGAAAACUCCACGGUAACAACAAUGAGGUGUUCAUCACCAAACAGAUAAAUGCUUAGCUAUAAAUCAACGGGGUACAGAAGCAAAUCAGCAGAACAAACAAGAUAACAAUGAUGAUCAUUGAUUAAUAAAUGCAAAAAUAUUCUGACAGGAUAACAAUAUUAACCUUUUGAGUAACAAUACAAUUCCUAAAAUGCACGUGCUACAGGAAAUUACAACAUCUAGGAAAAGUAUUAUAUAGGGAUUCUGAAAAUUCCUAGAUCUAGAACAUGCAAUUAAGAUAAUCAUAACACAACAUCAUAGCAGCAGCACAGAGUGGUAAAUCUAUUACCUCGUCAGGGGAAAGAGCAACAGGCAUUUAAAAUUAUUAUAAUGUGGUCAAUAUUCAGUCAGAUAGUACAUAAUCAUUACCUCCAUAGUCCUUAUUUCUGACAUCCAGGUAUGAAUCAGGAAGAACCCAACGGACUUUAGGCAACUCUGAAAACAAUAAUUUAGGGGCAUUUAACACAAGAUCAUUUUAAGUCACCUUCAUAAAAAGAUCACAUACAAGACUUUUCAUGUAAUGAUCAAUACCUUUGAGUUUGUAGGAGAGUUCCUCAGAUACUAGGGCACCAAAAGCAAAAUAAUGCCUAGUUGACACAGAGUAGAUCUUCAUCCUUGCUUCGUCUUCACUGGAACGACAUAGGAUAGAUUUGAGAUACAGAUAUGUUAUAAAUAGCACAUAGAUGACUGAAAACACGUUUCAUGUUAAGACUGGAGACAAUUAAGACAUAAAGAAGAAUUAUGUUCUAUUCUCAUCAAACCAAUAAGUUGUUAUGGUCCAGAGGCAAACAAAAUUACUAAGAAAUGGUUAAACUGCAACAGAUGUCCACCAACGAAGUUAAUGAACUCACAGUUGUCUAGGUACCAAAAACAGAUACUAAGCAUGAUCCCCAAGUAAGAAUCACAAAUCAUAAAUGUGAAAGCAGCAUUUAAAUGAUAAAAUUGCACAAAAAUGAGAUAGGAACAACAGACACAUUAUCACUUCUCCAAUUCCGACUCAUAACCCAUGAAAUCAAUAAAAGAACCCCCGUAAGUGAAUCUACAAAAUAACCAAACUUCAACGACCAUCUACAAUUGAGUCUCUGCACCCACUAAUUUCCGAACACCCUAAAGCAUGUUGGUGCAUCAGAACGAUACCCAACCCACAUAGACCAUAUAAAUGAAUCCCCACUCUUGUCAUAACCAUACUCCCAUAGUCAAUAUUGCAUAUAAAAGACUAAGAACAACAAGCACGAUCUCUCAUACUGUGAUCAGAGCAUCAAACAGUCGUCUGUAUUCAACUAACAUAGCAAUUUCAAACAUCCAUGCGGUCAUUAUUGCUGCAUAAUAAAUUAAAAAAGCCCUGGUCAGGAACUGGUAAUUUCAAUCUCUGUACACACAAAGUGGAGGUAGUAUCACAACAGACGCUAGCACAACAUCCACUACACCACCUGACCAACACUCGCUAUUCCCCACCCCGAAUCCCCUCCGCCGAAUCCAGAUCCAAACAUACGCACCAUAAAACUACGCUGACGUGAUGAGCGCAUCAGUGCGGGAGGGGGGUGUGGUACGGUGAGCCAUACCUUCCGACGACCUGGGCGAGGGUCUUGAUGUACCCGUCGAUGAUCUCGUCGCGGGUGACAUCGGGGUUAGCGCCGUCGCCUGGGGGCGGCUCCAUGACGACGAGCCAGUGCUCGAAGUCGCAGCCGUCGAGGAGGAUCGUCUCCUUGGGCGGGCGGUUGCUCCAGUUCGGGGACGAGUCCCGCAGCGACGAGUUCGCGGGCUGCGUCGCGAAUCGCCUCGCCGCCGCCCAGGGCGCCGCGGCGGGGGACGGGACCAGCGCCGCCGGGAGGAGGCUCCCCGCGGCCGCGACCGGGCGGAGGAAGCGGGAGGCGGCGGCGUGGAGGGGCGAGGCCCUGGAGAGGAGGAGCGCACGCGACGCCGACGCCAUGGUGGAAAACCCUAGCGGGGAGGGGAUUGGGGAAAUGGGAUGGGGAGUGACCACGGGGUUUAAGGCUUCAGCGAGAGUGCGCGAUUUAUAGAGGGGCCCGUGUUUCGUUGAGGCCGCCGAAAUAUCUCCAUUCACUGGGCUUGGGCUAUGAAGAGUGUGAUCUGUUGUGUUAGGAAUAUGGGCCUCCAUGUGUAAUGGGCCACAAAAAAAGCUCGAUGCGAUUCGAUUUCGGCCUAGGAUCCAAGCCUUUCACGUGUUUUUGUGCCAAUCAACAAAUAACACAGCUUUGUCUAAAAAAAACAGCUCUGCCGCUCUGGCACCAUAGUCAGCAGUCAGCACUGUGUUUAUUUCGAUAUAAAGUGAACAAACAAUGAGCACGUACGAAAACAUAGUCAGCAUUGUAUUUAUUUCGACAAAGUGGGAAUACAAUGAGCACUUAGCUAAGCUUCUGGCAAUUCUAGUUCUCAAAACAGCACUAGGGAUUGAGAAUAGUAUACAUGCAUAAAAGUCCAUGAGAGCAACAAACGAGAGUACAAGACACGAGCAGAGCAUGUACGAACUUCCU
rnacentral:lncRNA from 1 species